AUCCCUGUCAAGAGAGUCAGAACAAAUGUGGUUGGAGGCCUGGAUGAUGGAUUUGGUCGGAGCAUCUGAGUAGAAGCUGACGCAGGUAUGUGGCUGGAACUGACCUCUGGAUGCCUGGACCAUGUCUUAAGUACCUGGGAGGCGGAGCUGAGGUGGCGACUGGGCAUGUGCGAGGCUCAUUUCGCACUGCAGGUCGUCGGGAGAGGAGCUCUCUGUUGCUGGCGUCAAGCCUAGACCUAGGCUUGCUGCUGGGAGGUUGGGCUCACCCCUGGCAGGCCCGUAGCCCUCCCUGGAUGGCGGAGACUGUGGCUGGGCCUCUGGAUCCCCGGCAAAGAACGGGAGCAGCUGGGGUGGCGAGCCAGUCGUAGGUCGAGGACUCCUGGAGCUCGGCGGUGCAACAGCGGUGGUGGACAUAAGUCGAGGACCUUCGGGGAUCUUGGGUGCGGUGGCGGCAGCGGCGAAGGCGGCGGCAGCGGUGGACCCUGGGCGACGUUGGAGGACCUCCGGAUGGGUCAGGAAGCCUGGUGGAGGCCACGUGGCUGGUAUGUGGCUGGAAGUGACCUCUGGAUGCCUGGACCAUGUCUUAAGUACCUGGGAGAUGGAGCUGAGGUAAGGAGGGGUCAGG